UACGUAGGUGGCAAGCGUUGUCCGGAAUUACUGGGUGUAAAGGGCGUGUAGGCGGGUCUGCAAGUCAGGUGUGAAAUUCAAGGGCUUAACCCUUGACCUGCAUUUGAGACUGCGGAUCUUGAGUGAUGGAGAGGUAAGUGGAAUUCCUAGUGUAGCGGUGAAAUGCGUAGAUAUUAGGAGGAACACCAGUGGCGAAGGCGACUUACUGGACAUUAACUGACGCUGAGGCGCGAAAGCGUGGGGAGCAAACAGG
rnacentral:rRNA from 1 species